UUCCUUUUAAAAAAACUGUAUGUGUUGAUAAGGGAGAAAAAGAGACUAACCUCGUACCUUGGUAUUCGACUGCUUUGACACUCUUUGAAUUUGGUACUUAACACAUCUCAAUGUAAAAAUUCUGUUCUUGAACUCCUUUAUGUGGUACUUGAGGCUCAAGCCAGAAUUUGUCAGUGUCCAAUUACUGAUUCUCUAUCCUUUUCAGCUGAAGCAAUUUGUUUGGCACUCAUUUUUUUUUUUUAAGUACUCAUGGUGCCUCUUGGAACCAGUUAACCACUAGUACCAUGAUACUACCGCAGACCACUUGGCUCUUCAAUCUUCACUGUCAAUCUUUGACUGGAUUAAGAGGCUCCUGAAGAAUUGAUGGGAUUAUGAAGGUGCCAUUCUUAUCAAUUGGUUAAUCCACUGAUGAAUUCCAAGCUGAAUGGGUUACUAGGCAGUGGGUUACAGGAAAGAGAUCAUGCAGGUAUGUCCUUGGGAACCAUAUCCCAGCCCCUUCCUCUCUGGCCCUUCUCUGCUCUUUGCUUCUGGGAUGCCAGGGGUUGAAUAGUUCUCCUCUUCUGUGCCCUUCUGCCAUCAUGAGCCGAAAGUAACCUGUCCUUUAAGAUGCAAGUAUCAGGUAUUUUGUGUGAGCAAUUAGUAAGCUGACUUGUACAAAAGCUCUGGAGCCAGUGUUAUUUUUUAAUAUCUGCCCAAGAAUUCAAAACUCAGUAUCUUAUGCUUUUUUUUAAAUUUCCCACAACACUGAAAGAAAAGUAACAGGGGUAGCCAUAAGAAUUCUUACUGCAAAGUCCUGUAAAUCAAAACUCAAGUUCGAGUUUCCUGUCUUCUGGAUACUUUUUAACGCUGCAAGAGACUUCAUCUCUUUGAUAUUUUUAAAUUCUGAAGUUGGGGUAUAAUUUGUUUUGCAGCUUUACUGGGUCAUGAAUACACCUCUGCAGAAUAUAUGAUCGAGAUCACACACUGAGAAAGAAGAGUAAGGUACAGAGCCAGCCAUGUACUGUGCUGCACAAAGAGGACACAGAGACAGAACUGUAAAGCAAGGGAUUUUCUCUGACUGAGGGACUUGAGAACAGAAAAACUUCGCUUGAAAGAGAAAGAGACUCACAGCCUCAUGGUGGUGUUGCCUGAGCUCCUGUUUGCAGGACAGAGUGUGCAUGCCUCUGAGAGUAAGGAAGUGUGUGUGAGGAGUGCCCAGCAGAGCAGGCAGAGCAGCAUGCUGACUCUGAUGAGAAAAUGGAAAUGCAGUGCAGUGAGCAGUAUGCUGUCUGCGGUUCAAUGAUGACCACAGAGCUUGACCCUCGAGUGCUGUCAAUGACCUGAAAGGUCUUUGUGAAUCCCUUUAACUGGCAGAGACCUCAUAUCCUGUCUUUAGAGAAGACACAAAACUGGAGAUCUUAUCAAACUAUCUGGCCUUUCUUAACUAAAACUAAUCCAGGUAAACAAAAUAUUUUGUACCAACAAAUUUUGUCAAAAAUGCUUUAUUUUGCAAAACAGAA